UAUCUUAGGCUAGCUAGCUAUAUUAUAUAGCUAAUAUUAAUUAUAUAGCUAAAUAAAGCUAGAAAACACCAACUAGUUCAGCUCCUAAUUUGAGCUUUAAGAUGUUUGAUGAGGGGAUCAAGAAUCAUCACUUUCCACAUCUAAAAUGGAUAAUUAGAAUAUCUGUACUUCUUCCUUUCCAGAAAAAUUGCCAUCAGGCAAUCUGUGAGUUUCUAUUUCCGUUGUUUCAAGUUACUAGAUUGUUGCUGCUGCUGAUACUGUUACUGUUUCCACACCAUUCUAGCUGCAAGUUUUAAUGCUGUCAUUUGCAACUUUUGCAAUACCCAGGAAUCACCCAGGAGGCAUGUUAGAAAUGCAGAUUUCUGAACUUCACGUUCAGAGAUUCCCACUCAUUAGGUCUGGGAUGUGGCUCAAGAAUCUGCAUUUACAAGAGUAACUACUGGUUGGGAAGCUCUAAUGCAAGAGAAUCAUUGCUUUGAAGAUUAGCAAGGUGCACCAGACUGAGAGUGAACCAGGAGAUAGGUGUGAUAUGGGGUUAAGAUCAAAACAUAAUGUAAAUUACAUCCAGGAGGGUUCUGAAGACAUCAGAGAAGAUGAUCACUGUCAUUGAAGAUGACCAUCUAAAGAUCAUUGUUCUCCAAACUUACCUGAUGAAUCACCUGUAGAACUCUGUAAAGCAGGUCAUUCCUGGCUUUGUCUCCUAGAGCAGUGGCUCCAACUUCGUGUGCCCCAUGGAAUCACCUGGGAAACAUUUAGCAAUCCAGAUAUACAGGCCACACUGCAGACUGAAUCAAAAUUGCUAGUGCUUAGGCCCAGCGUGAGUCUUUUUUUAAAGCUCCCCUGUGAUUUCAAUGUGCAACCAAGGUUUGAGUGACUGUGCUAGAGAUUGAUUCUAGAAGUCAAGGGUGGUGACCAAGAAUCAGUAUUUUUAGCAAGAGCUUCAAGUGAUUCUUAUGAACACCAAGUUUGGAAGUUACUAAAUUUGAUAUAUCAGGAUCUAUUUCAAAUUAUUUAAAGAACCAUCCACAUUUGGCUAACUUCAUGCUAUACAGUGCAAAAAGAAAUCAAAGUGAAACAACUUGUUCCUAAGAAGAGAAACUCCACCCCACCUUCAAAAAAAACCAAACUGGAACACAACGUAUGUUCUACUGAGCACAGUAGAACAUAGUGAGGUUAUGUCUUAAACCCUGUCCAGAAGGGUAGAGAGCUACCUAAAAAAUACCUCAGUGAUAUCCUACAGCACAGACACCAGUGUAGCACCAUGGUCGGAUUCCAGGAAACCUUACCUAUGAUUUCUUCCAUCACGUUCUGUAGUCAUCUCGUAGAAUCACAAGAUUGUACAUCUGACCUGGACAGCAGAGACGUCUGGCCUAGUCCAACUGCCAUGCUUGAAAGAGAAGGAAACUGAUGGACAAAGAAGUGAGCUGAUUUUCCUCAAGUCACACAGUGAGUCGGUGCCAGGUUUCCAUGCUUCCUGACUCGCAACCUAAAACUCUUAAAACCCCUCACACACUAUCCGUCUUCUCUUCCAACCCACACACCCCUCCUCCUUCACCUCUGAGGAAAAAAAAAUCAGCCAGAUAAAACUGUGCUGAGAGGAUGGUGCUGUUGUUGUGACGCAGAAGAUGUAAAAGUCUUUCUGGGUCUGUCCUUUGUAUAUAUUUUCUAUCUUUCCCUUCCCUUGAGUCUUUUAGGAGUAAGAGUAGGGCCUGAGUCAGGAAGGUAAAGACCGGAGGAACUUAGUAAACUAUGUCCUAUUCUUUAGAGAGAUUUCUCUUUCUUUUGGUCCUUGUGUGCUUAUUUCUGCUCCUCUCGCUUCUACUAUAGUCUCUGUGAUUUUAAGAUGUCGUGAACAGGGUAUGUGUUCCUGGGAACAGCCUGUUUUUCAUCUAGGCCAGAAAUUCUCCAACUGGUAUGUAUUCUUUGGCACCCUAGAAGUCUCUGAGAAAUUAAAAUUAAUCUUAGUGUAUUCUGUAUCUUUUGGAAGACAACCUGUUAUCCUAGUGCCCACAUUUGUGUUUGUGUUCAUAGGUGUGUUCUCAUCAAAUGAAGGCCAAAUAACAACACAGGAUGCUAUAGGAAAAGUUUGCAGUGGUUCAAGAAAAAUGGGAGGAUAAUUGUCAUUACAGAACAGAGGGUAGCAUAGACUCCAUAGUAGUCAGACUAUAUUUUUACUGUAAUUGGGUAUUUUGCUGAUUUGGAUCCACUUAUUUGUGCAAAACAACUUAAAAUAGUGUAAAUGGUAGCACUGUGGCUCAUUCCAGGAAACCUAUAAGUGAAGUAGUAAAUGCAGUCACAUGUCACUUAAUGACAGGGAUACAUUCUGAGAAAUGCAUCGUUAGGCAAUUUUGUCAUUGUGUGAGCAUCAUAGAGUGUACUUACACAAACUUCAAUGAUAUAGCCUAUACAUACCUAGGCUAUAUGGUACUAAUCUUAUGGGACCACCAUCGUAUAUGCGUCCACUGUUAACUGAAACAUCGUUAUGCGGCACGUGACUGUAGGCCAAAAAGUAAUUUGUAUGUUCCUUAUUCCAGCAAUCACCAGAUGAGAUACUGUAUUCCAAAGGAUUUCAUGAAUUGCCAUGAUACUUAUCUAAGUGAACAAGA